rnacentral:tRNA from 1 species
GGAAAUAUAGCUCAAUUGGUAGAGUGCUUGCCUAGCAUGCCCAAGUCUCUGGGUUCAAUCCCCAGUUACUGCCA